rnacentral:rRNA from 1 species
CCUACGGGGCGCACCAGUGGGGAAUAUUGCACAAUGGGCGCAAGCCUGAUGCAGCCAUGCCGCGUGUGUGAAGAAGGUCUUCGGGUUGUAAAGCACUUUCAGCGGGGAGGAAGGCGUUAAGGUUAAUAACCUUGGCGAUUGACGUUACCCGCAGAAGUUGCACCGGCUAACUCCGUGCCAGCAGCCGAGGUAAUACGGAGGGUGCAAGCGUUAAUCGGAAUUACUGGGCGUAAAGCGCACGCAGGCGGUCUGUCGAGUCGGAUGUGAAAUCCCUGGGCUCAACCUGGGAACUGCAUUCGAAACUGGCAGGCUAGAGUCUUGUAGAGGGGGGUAGAAUUCCAGGUGUAGCGGUGAAAUGCGUAGAGAUCUGGAGGAAUACCGGUGGCGAAGGCGGCCCCCUGGACAAAGACUGACGCUCAGGUGCGAAAGCGUGGGGAGCAAACAGGAUUAGAUACCCUGGUAGUC